AACGAACGCUGGCGGCAUGCCUAACACAUGCAAGUCGAACGAAGCCCUCGGGCUUAGUGGCGCACGGGUGCGUAACGCGUGGGAAUCUGCCCUUGGGUUCGGAAUAACAGUUAGAAAUGACUGCUAAUACCGGAUGAUGUCUUCGGACCAAAGAUUUAUCGCCCAAGGAUGAGCCCGCGUAGGAUUAGCUAGUUGGUGAGGUAAAGGCUCACCAAGGCGACGAUCCUUAGCUGAUCUGAGAGGAUGAUCAGCCACACUGGGACUGAGACACGGCCCAGACUCCUACGGGAGGCAGCAGUGGGGAAUAUUGGACAAUGGGCGAAAGCCUGAUCCAGCAAUGCCGCGUGAGUGAUGAAGGCCUUAGGGUUGUAAAGCUCUUUUACCCGGGAUGAUAAUGACAGUACCGGGAGAAUAAGCCCCGGCUAACUCCGUGCCAGCAGCCGCGGUAAUACGGAGGGGGCUAGCGUUGUUCGGAAUUACUGGGCGUAAAGCGCACGUAGGCGGCUUUGUAAGUUAGAGGUGAAAGCCCGGGGCUCAACUCCGGAACUGCCUUUAAGACUGCAUCGCUUGAAUCAUGGAGAGGUUAGUGGAAUUCCGAGUGUAGAGGUGAAAUUCGUAGAUAUUCGGAAGAACACCAGUGGCGAAGGCGACUAACUGGACAUGUAUUGACGCUGAGGUGCGAAAGCGUGGGGAG
rnacentral:rRNA from 1 species